CCUUGUCACACAUUCGUCACAGUGACAUUCAAACACUGGACGGAAUCUGAUAAGGGA
rnacentral:pre_miRNA from 1 species